rnacentral:rRNA from 1 species
AUUGAACGCUGGCGGCAGGCCUAACACAUGCAAGUCGAACGGUAACAGGAAGAAGCUUGCUUCUUUGCUGACGAGUGGCGGACGGGUGAGUAAUGUCUGGGAAACUGCCUGAUGGAGGGGGAUAACACUGGAAACGGUAGCUAAUACCGCAUAACGUCGCAAGACCAAAGAGGGGGACCUUCGGGCCUCUUGCCAUCGGAUGUGCCCAGAUGGGAUUAGCUAGUAGGUGGGGUAACGGCUCACCUAGGCGACGAUCCCUAGCUGGUCUGAGAGGAUGACCAGCCACACUGGAACUGAGACACGGUCCAGACUCCUACGGGAGGCAGCAGUGGGGAAUAUUGCACAAUGGGCGCAAGCCUGAUGCAGCCAUGCCGCGUGUAUGAAGAAGGCCUUCGGGUUGUAAAGUACUUUCAGCGGGGAGGAAGGGAGUAAAGUUAAUACCUUUGCUCAUUGACGUUACCCGCAGAAGAAGCACCGGCUAACUCCGUG